rnacentral:rRNA from 1 species
UCGUGAGACAGGUUAGUUUUACCCUACUGAUGAAUGUUAUCGCAAUAGUAAUUGAACUUAGUACGAGAGGAACAGUUCAUUCGGAUAAUUGGUUUUUGCGGCUGUCCGACCGGGCAUUGCCGCGAAGCUACCAUCCGCUGGAUUAUGGCUGAACGCCUCUAAGUCAGAAUCCAUGCUAGAACGCGAUGAUUCUUUUUCUCGCACAUUAUAGAUGGAUACGAAUAAGGUGCUUUUAGCAUCGCUGAACCAUAGCAGGCCGGCAACUGGUGUUCAGACGGAAAGGUCUGGGCGCGUGCCGGCGGAUUGCAAUGUCAUACUGCGCGAGAGUAAAUCAUUUGUACACGACUUAGAUGUACAACGGGGUAUUGUAAGCAG